rnacentral:tRNA from 2 species
GGGAUAUAGCACAGUUGGUAGCGCGAUACGUUCGCAACGUAUAGGUCAGGGGUUCGAAUCCCCUUAUCUCC